AUACGUAGGGGGCGAGCGUUGUCCGGAAUGAUUGGGCGUAAAGGGCGCGUAGGCGGCGCGGUAAGUCUGGAGUGAAAGUCCUGCUUUCAAGGUGGGAAUUGCUUUGGAUACUGCCGCGCUUGAGUGCAGGAGAGGUUAUCGGAAUUCCCGGUGUAGCGGUGCAAUGCGUAGAGAUCGGGAGGAACACCAGUGGCGAAGGCGGGUAACUGGACUGCAACUGACGCUGAGGCGCGAAAGUGUGGGGAGCAAACAGGAUUAGAUACCCUGGUAGUCCACACUGUAAACGAUGAAUGCUAGGUGUAAGAGGUAUCGACCCCUUUUGUGCCGGAGUCAACACAAUAAGCAUUCCGCCUGGGGGGUACGGCCGCAAGGUUGAAACUCAAAGGAAUUGACGGGG
rnacentral:rRNA from 1 species